rnacentral:rRNA from 1 species
CGUUCCCGGGCCUUGUACACACCGCCCGUCACGUCAUGAAAGUCGGUAACACCCGAAGCCCAUGGCCCAACCCGCAAGGGGGGGAGUGGUCGAAGGUGGGACUGGCGAUUGGGACG